rnacentral:rRNA from 1 species
GACGAACCGUGCGAACGUUAUUCGGAAUCACUGGGCUUAAAGCGCGUGUAGGCGGGCCGGCACGUCGGCUGCUGAAAGCCCCCGGCUCAACCGGGGAACGGGCACCGAUACGACCGGCCUGGAGGGGGGUAGGGGGAGCCGGAACUUCCGGUGGAGCGGUGAAAUGCGUUGAGAUCGGAAGGAACGCCCGUGGCGAAAGCGGGCUCCUGGACCCCGCCUGACGCUGAGACGCGAAAGCCAGGGGAGCGAACGGG